rnacentral:rRNA from 1 species
UCAUGGCUCAGGACGAACGCUGGCGGCAUGCCUAAUACAUGCAAGUCGAACGCGACCAGCCGGUGCUUGCACUGGCGAAGUCGAGUGGCGAACGGGUGAGUAACACGUGAGAAACCUACCCUGGAGUGGGGAAUAACUCGAAGAAAUUCGAGCUAAUACCACAUACCUUCUUACCGUCGAAUGGUGGUUUGAAGAAAGAUUUAUCGCUCUGGGAGGGUCUCGCGGCCUAUCAGCUAGUUGGUGAGGUAACGGCUCACCAAGGGCAUCGACGGGUAGCUGGUCUGAGAGGACGAUCAGCCACACUGGAACUGAGACACGGUCCAGACUCCUACGGGAGGCAGCAGUAGGGAAUCUUGCGCAAUGGGCGAAAGCCUGACGCAGCAAUGCCGCGUGCGGGACGAAGGCCCUAGGGUCGUAAACCGCUUUCAGUAGGGACGAAAAUGACGGUACCUGCAGAAGAAGCUCCGGCCAACUACGUG